rnacentral:lncRNA from 1 species
CAAUGGCAAAAGCUUAGUUUAUCCAGAACAUUUGAGAUGCUGAGGGGGGAACCACAGAAUGCUAGCCAGCACCUAGCAAUUAUAAGUACAUUUUCUAAUAUUUGUUGUUUCUUGUGUGAGAAUCUCUUUCUUUGGAGAGGGUCAUAGACAUGAUUCUAAACAUACAACAUGACUUACACUUCAGGGGAUAAGUGUUUAACAGACAUGUUUUUAAGAUAGUGACUCAUAUGGGCAAUUUCAGACAUGAGGCAUCUAAAAGCAUAAUUUUUCCAAAUACAUCUUGACUGAAAGCAGCUGGGCUUUGUUCAAGACUCACUUUUCUAGCUCUGUGAGAAGCAAAUAGACGGGCAUCCUCUGAGGUUUUGAUGGAGUGAAGGAUGCUUUCUACCUCACUGCUGAUUUGUGAUGGAGCAUAUGGAGCCUCUGGGCAAUAGUAGAAUUUUCAGGUGAAGCAGAAUUUGUGUUCAGUUUCAGGUACCUGCUUCCUCAGAAGGAUGGUCUUCCAAGCAGAUGAGCCCAGAUUCUGAAGAGGUGCAGAUGAAUGUGUCAAAGCGUGCAGCAUGAAUCUGAUGAGAAAAGAGAAAGAGAAGGAUGAGGAGAAAGACUUUCACACAUGAAACCACAGUCUUCCGGGAUGACUGAAAACGGCAAAAUGAAAGAAACAAUCCAUUCUUCAGACAGUGUCAGACUAAGAGAUAAAACAUAUCCGGAUUCAGCUGUUGCCUCUUAAAGCUUCCUGUUCCUCUCACAAAAACUACUGGAAAAGUGCUCUUCCCUUUGCAGGACCUUCUACAAACAGACUUCAGUAAUUCCAACAGCACUAACAUACUGUUGGUCUCUGCUAAAAGCCCAGUGAGAAUCAAUGCUUUUUUAUUAAAAGGUUUGUUAUGGAUUAUUUUGUCCUUGUGUAUUUCACUGGUGAGGACCAGAGUACCUCACAGAGGAUCUGAACUGACUAUCUGAGCUCUGCCAAACAGAACAGCCCUGGUUUACCUGGUCUCCCACGACAACAGACUUGAUGGCAGCCAAAUAGAUCCAGAGGCAGCCGAGCGUGACAGCCGACAUCAAAGCGAGAAUGCCACACCUUGAUCCGGAUUUCACUCUACCUGCCGGGGCAAACUUAUUAACGUGACCACCCUGAGAAUUCAAAGGAGCAAACACACACAGCCACACAAAACUCAACCACUCAAAUUUGAAAAUGAAAAUAGAAGUCUAGACAGCUUUUCUUCAGGAUUCAUUGCUGCUGACCUAAUUAUUUGGAGCCUGUGCUUUAUCUUAUUCUUUUCAAAGAACAAGAAGAAUAGUUAAUUUCACUUAAUAGAAUAAUUGAAUGUCAUAAUUGCAGGGUUUCUUUUUUCUUUUUUUUUCUUUUUUUUUUUUUUUUUUUCCACUUCAGCAAUAAUGUAUUAGUUAAGCUGCUAACAAUCAGGCUGCUCACACAGUGAAUUAGUUACUUUUUUCUUUCUUCGCUGGACUAUUUGGACUAACCUAAAUUGAUAAUGAUU